rnacentral:rRNA from 1 species
UCCGUAGGCGGGCGUUUAAGUCAGUGGUGAAAUCUCUCGGCUCAACCGAGAAACUGCCAUUGAAACUGAUAGCCUUGAGUAUGGUUGUGGUAGGCGGAAUAUAGCAUGUAGCGGUGAAAUGCUUAGAUAUGCUAUAGAACACCGAUCGCGAAGGCAGCUUACCAAACCAUUACUGACGCUCAUGCACGAAAGCGUGGGGAGCAAACAGGAUUAGAUACCCUGGUAGUCC